AGGAGCUUGCUCCUGGGUGAGAGUGGCGAACGGGUGAGUAAUGCGUGACCGACCUGCCCCAUACACCGGAAUAGCUCCUGGAAACGGGUGGUAAUGCCGGAUGCUCCAGUUGACCGCAUGGUCCUCUGGGAAAGCUUUUGCGGUAUGGGAUGGGGUCGCGUCCUAUCAGGUAGUCGGCGGGGUAACGGCCCACCGAGCCUACGACGGGUAGCCGGCCUGAGAGGGCGACCGGCCACAUUGGGACUGAGAUACGGCCCAGACUCCUACGGGAGGCAGCAGUGGGGAAUAUUGCACAAUGGGCGCAAGCCUGAUGCAGCGACGCCGCGUGCGGGAUGACGGCCUUCGGGUUGUAAACCGCUUUUGACUGGGAGCAAGCCCUUCGGGGUGAGUGUACCUUUCGAAUAAGCACCGGCUAACUACGUGCCAGCAGCCGCGGUAAUACGUAGGGUGCAAGCGUUAUCCGGAAUUAUUGGGCGUAAAGGGCUCGUAGGCGGUUCGUCGCGUCCGGUGUGAAAGUCCAUCGCUUAACGGUGGAUCUGCGCCGGGUACGGGCGGGCUGGAGUGCGGUAGGGGAGACUGGAAUUCCCGGUGUAACGGUGGAAUGUGUAGAUAUCGGGAAGAACACCAAUGGCGAAGGCAGGUCUCUGGGCCGUUACUGACGCUGAGGAGCGAAAGCGUGGGGAGCGAACAGGAUUAGAUACCCUGGUAGUCCACGCCGUAAACGAUGAGUGCUAAGUGUUAGGGGGUUUCCGCCCCUUAGUGCUGCAGCUAACGCAUUAAGCACUCCGCCUGGGGAGUACGGUCGCAAGACUGAAACUCAAAGGAAUUGACGGGGGCCCGCACAAGCGGUGGAGCAUGUGGUUUAAUUCGAAGCAACGCGAAGAACCUUACCAGGUCUUGACAUCCUCUGACAAUCCUAGAGAUAGGACGUCCCCUUCGGGGGCAGAGUGACAGGUGGUGCAUGGUUGUCGUCAGCUCGUGUCGUGAGAUGUUGGGUUAAGUCCCGCAACGAGCGCAACCCUUGUGAUAUGUUACUAACAUUGAGUUGAGGACUCAUAUCAGACUGCCGGUGACAAACCGGAGGAAGGUGGGGAUGACGUCAAAUCAUCAUGCCCCUUAUGACCUGGGCUACACACGUGCUACAAUGGACAGAACAAAGGGCAGCGAAACCGCGAGGUUAAGCCAAUCCCACAAAUCUGUUCUCAGUUCGGAUCGCAGUCUGCAACUCGACUGCGUGAAGCUGGAAUCGCUAGUAAUCGCGGAUCAGCAUGCCGCGGUGAAUACGUUCCCGGGCCUUGUACACACCGCCCGUCACACCAUGAGAGCCGGGGGGACCCGAAGUCGAUAGUCUAACCGCAAGGAGGACGUCGCCGAAGGUAAAACUGGUGAUUGGGGUGAAGUCGUAACAAGGUAGCCGUAUCGGAAGGUGCGGCUG
rnacentral:rRNA from 1 species